AUGUCCACCUGCCUCAUUGACAUGAUAAAUGCCAAUGAAUUAGAUUUUAUUGGGCUUCAAGAGACUAUGAAGAAGGUAUACUCCUGCGUUUUUAGGAAAAUUGACCCGAACCAUAAAUUUUAUUGGGAAUGGACUCCUUCUAGGGGGAAAUCUGGUGGCCUCCUUUGUGGGCUUAAUAAGGAUAAAUUUGAUAUUCUUAUGACCAAGUGUGGAAAAUACAUCCUGCAGUUGAAUUUGUUCGAUAAGAACAAAAACUGUAGCUGGGCCUUGAUGACUGUGUAUGGUGCUGCACAUGAUGAACAGAAGCCUGAGUUCAUUGCUGAACUGUCAUCCAUGUGCCACAACACUAAUAUUCCCUAUCAAGUUGGGGGAGAUUUUAAUAUCAUUCGACAUAGUGGGGAGAAAAACAGAAAAACAUCCAUGUCCCACUUCUCGGAGGUGUUUAACUCUGUUAUACACUUGCUUGGGUUGAGAGAGAUUUAUAUGACUGGUGGUUGUUAUACCUAGUCCAAUAAACAAGAAAUCCCGACUUUCGAAAAGCUGGAUAGGGUUCUCAUGUCUCCUGAUUGGGAGGAUUUAUAUCCUCUCGCUUCUGUUCAUAAACUGGUCAAAGAAAUAUCAGAUCACAAUCCUUUGUUGGUGGAUGGUGGGAGUGCU
rnacentral:rRNA from 1 species